rnacentral:rRNA from 1 species
UGGGGAAUCUUGCGCGAUGGGCGAAAGCCUGACGCAGCCAUGCCGCGUGAAUGAUGAAGGUCUUAGGAUUGUAAAAUUCUUUCACCGGGGACGAUAAUGACGGUACCCGGAGAAGAAGCCCCGGCUAACUUCGUGCCAGCAGCCGCGGUAAUCGAAGGGGGCUAGCGUUGCUCGGAAUUACUGGGCGUAAAGGGAGCGUAGGCGGACAUUUAAGUCAGGGGUGAAAUCCCGGGGCUCAACCUCGGAAUUGCCUUUGAUACUGGGUGUCUUGAGUGUGAGAGAGGUAUGUGGAACUCCGAGUGUAGAGGUGAAAUUCGUAGAUAUUCGGAAGAACACCAGUGGCGAAGGCGACAUACUGGGCUCAUUACUGACGCUGAGGCUCGAAAGCGUGGGGAGCAAACAGGAUUAGAUACCCUGGUAGUCCACGCCCGUAAAGCGAUGAUUGCNAGUUGUCGGGAUNCAUG